rnacentral:pre_miRNA from 1 species
AUGAGCAUGAUGGAGAAGCAGGGCACAUGCAUUACACCUAUCAGAACCUGUAGCUUAUGCUGGUUCAGAGGUAUGUUAUUCGUGUGUCAUUUUUCUCCAUCAUGACCAU